CCUACGGGUGGCAGCAGUCGAGAAUCAUUCACAAUGGGGGAAACCCUGAUGGUGCGACGCCGCGUGGGGGAAUGAAGGUCUUCGGAUUGUAAACCCCUGUCAUGUGGGAGCAAAUUAAAAAGAUAGUACCACAAGAGGAAGAGACGGCUAACUCUGUGCCAGCAGCCGCGGUAAUACAGAGGUCUCAAGCGUUGUUCGGAAUCACUGGGCGUAAAGCGUGCGUAGGCUGUUUCGUGAGUCGUGUGUGAAAGGCGCGGGCUCAACCCGCGGACGGCACAUGAUACUGCGAGACUAGAGUGAUGGAGGGGGAACCGGAAUUCUCGGUGUAGCAGUGAAAUGCGUAGAUAUCGGGAGGAACACUUGUGGCGAAGGCGGGUUCCUGGACAUUAACUGACGCUGAGGCACGAAGGCCAGGGGAGCGAAAGGGAUUAGAUACCCGAGUAGUC
rnacentral:rRNA from 1 species